rnacentral:rRNA from 1 species
GUCUACGGCCAUACCACCCUGAACGUGCCCGAUCUCGUCUGAUCUCAGAAGCUAAGCAGGGUCGGGCCUGGUUAGUACUUGGAUGGGAGAAGCAUAUGGGAGAAAAUAUUCAGCAUCCACC